CAGUAGCCGCGGUAAUACAGAGGGUGCGAGCGUUAAUCGGAUUUACUGGGCGUAAAGCGUGCGUAGGCGGCUUCUUAAGUCGGAUGUGAAAUCCCUGAGCUUAACUUAGGAAUUGUAUUCGAUACUGGGAAGCUAGAGUAUGGGAGAGGAUGGUAGAAUUCCAGGUGUAGCGGUGAAAUGCGUAGAGAUCUGGAGGAAUACCGAUGGCGAAGGCAGCCAUCUGGCCUAAUACUGACGCUGAGGUACGAAAGCAUGGGGAGCAAACAGGAUUAGAUACCCGCGUAGUCCCUGUCUCUUAUAC
rnacentral:rRNA from 1 species